rnacentral:rRNA from 1 species
CCUACUGGAGGCAGCAGUGGGGAAUUUUGGACAAUGGACGAAAGUCUGAUCCAGCCAUGCCGCGUGCGGGAAGAAGGCCUUCGGGUUGUAAACCGCUUUUGUCAGGGAAGAAAAGCUCCGAACUAAUAUUUUGGGGUGAUGACGGUACCUGAAGAAUAAGCACCGGCUAACUACGUGCCAGCAGCCGCGGUAAUACGUAGGGUGCAAGCGUUAAUCGGAAUUACUGGGCGUAAAGCGUGCGCAGGCGGUUCUAUAAGACAGAUGUGAAAUCCCCGGGCUCAACCUGGGAACUGCAUUUGUGACUGUAGAGCUGGAGUACGGCAGAGGGGGAUGGAAUUCCGCGUGUAGCAGUGAAAUGCGUAGAUAUGCGGAGGAACACCGAUGGCGAAGGCAAUCCCCUGGGCCUGUACUGACGCUCAUGCACGAAAGCGUGGGGAGCAAACAGGAUUAGAUACCCUGGUAGUCCACGCCCUAAACGAUGUCAACUGGUUGUUGGGAAGGUUCCUUCUCAGUAACGUAGCUAACGCGUGAAGUUGACCGCCGNGGGAGGUACGGUCCGGCGAGGUUAGGUUAAACGUACGAAAGGAAAGUUAGACGGCGUUGAGGACGNGCCGACGGACGACGACGAGGGGAGGAGGG